rnacentral:rRNA from 1 species
GUCUACGGCCACGCCACCCUGAACAAGCCCGAUGUCUGAUCUCAGAAGCUAAGCAGGGUCGGGCCUGGUCAGUACUCGGAAGGGAGACCACCUAGGAAGACCAGGUGCUGUAGGCA